CCUACGGGAGGCAGCAGUGGGGAAUAUUGCACAAUGGGGGAAACCCUGAUGCAGCGACGCCGCGUGAGUGAAGAAGUCUUUCGGUACGUAAAGCUCUAUUAGCAGGGAAGAAAAUGACGGUACCUGACUAAGAAGCCCAGGCUAACUACGUGCCAGCAGCCGCGGUAAUACGGAGGGGGCAAGCGUUAUCCGGAUUUACUGGGUGUAAAGGGAGCGUAGGCGGCAGCGCAAGUCUGAAGUGAAAUCCCAUGGCUUAGCCAUGGAGCUGCUUUUGAAACUGUGGAGCUGGAGUUCAGGUGAGGUAGGCGGAAUGCGUAGUGUAGCGGUGAAAUGCGUAGAUAUUAGGAGGAACACCAGUGGCGAAGGCGGCUUACUGGACUGUAUCUGACGUUGAGGCUCGAAAGCGUGGGGAGCAAACAGGAUUAGAUACCCUUGUAGUC
rnacentral:rRNA from 1 species